rnacentral:rRNA from 1 species
UACAGAGGGUGCUAGCGUUGUUCGGAAUCAUUGGGCGUAAAGGGCGUGUAGGCGGUUUGUUAAGUCAUGUGUGAAAUCCCCCGGCUCAACCGGGGAACUGCACCUGAUACUGUUGGGCUUGAGUGCAGGAGGGGAGAGCGGAAUUCCUGGUGGAGCGGUGAAAUGCGUAGAUAUCAGGAGGAACGCCGGCGGCGAAAGCGGCUCUCUGGCCUGUUACUGACGCUGAGGCGCGAAAGCUAGGGGAGCAAACGGG